CAGCAAGCUUAGUGAACAGCUGCCAAAGAUUUCUCCUCAAAUCUCAACUUCCUGUUUCCAGAUGAGAAAAUGAAAGCAAAAAGCCAAAAGAAAUGCACAAGGCCACAACACUUGUCAGGCACGGUGGCUUACAGCUGUAAUCCCAGCACUUUGGCGGCCCAGGAGGGCACAUCACCUGAGAUGGAGGGAGUCCAAUGUCUCCAGUCUGUCCUUACCUAAAAGUGAUCCCCACGAUCAUUUUCAUGGAUGGAAAAAGUGUGCUCAUCUCUUUACAACCUUCUUCAGGAGCUGCAAAAGAAUGUGCACAAUUCCAGGGGCCAACACAAAAUGACUAGACUAGAGACUUGCAGGAAAAUACACAUCAAGGUUCAAUGGUUCAGAGGGAGGGGCCUCAGCCUGGGUGUGUCAGAAGACCUGGUUCAAAUUCCAGUUUGAUUCGUCUAAAUCUCAGUUUUUACAUACGUAAAAAGGUUGUAAAACAUCCUCAAAGAAUUGUCAUGAAGACUAAUAAGAAACACUGUUAUGAAAUCUGCUAGUACAGUAGCUGGCAUAUAGCAAAUACACUGUAACUAUUAGCUGAAUCCCAAAUUAGUUAUAAACUCAUUUUUCAACACCAUUAUAAUUUCUCACUCACAUCUUUAAAAAUGUGAUCUCAGUGCAAUUACUCUCUUGACAAAACACAAACAGGCACACACUCCUCUGACAUUCAUCACUAUCAGUUCAAGGAGGGAAGAGAGAACUCUCAUUCCCCUGAAACUUUUUGUUUUACUCAAAGCACUGUGUGCCAACAAAAAGACUGGUUAAAGGGCAUCGAAGGUUAAUUCACAAAAGAGGAAACAUAAAUGAUUUGAUAUAUGAGAAAAGGUCCAUCCUCACAUGUAGUCCAUCAAGGCAAGAUCAAACAAUAAAAUAGCAUAUGAUAACCUACGAUAUGUUGCCUACAAUAACCUUCUGUCUUCCCAAGAGGAUAUACAGCUGUUGGGGCAAUACAUUGAUUCGGCCCUUUCGGAUAGCAAU